rnacentral:rRNA from 1 species
CCUACGGGAGGCAGCAGUGAGGAAUAUUGGUCAAUGGGCGCGAGACUGAACCAGCCAAGUAGCGUGAAGGAUGACUGCCCUACGGGUUGUAAACUUCUUUUAUACAGGAAUAAAGUGAGGCACGUGUGCUUUUUUGUAUGUAUUUUAUGAAUAAGGAUCGGCUAACUCCGUGCCAGCAGCCGCGGUAAUACGGAGGAUCCGAGCGUUAUCCGGAUUUAUUGGGUUUAAAGGGAGCGUAGACGGGAUGUUAAGUCAGCUGUGAAAGGUUGCGGCUCAACCGUAGAAUUGCGAUGGAUACUGGCAGCCUUGAGUACAGGUGAGGUAGGCGGAAUUCGUGGUGUAGCGGUGAAAUGCUUAGAUAUCACGAAGAACUCCGAUUGCGAAGGCAGCCUACUAAACUGCCACUGACAUUGAUGCUCGAAGGUGUGGGUAUCGAACAGGAUUAGAUACCCGGGUAGUC